UGGAGAGGUGGCAGAGUGGUCGAUUGCGGCGGUCUUGAAAACCGUUGUACUGCGAGGUACCGGGGGUUCGAAUCCCUCCCUCUCCGCCCA
rnacentral:tRNA from 1 species